CUCCUGAUCUUCCUUCACCAGUCCACUCCACCUCCCAGUAACAGCGUCCAGUCACACUCUCUCUACACAACGCCUCGGUCCAACUGUCAAAUCUGUCUGGAUGGUCAGGAUACGGCAUAAGUGUGUCAGAAUCAUCAAGCUCCAGCUCCAGUCUCGCCAGUCUUUGUUCAGCUUGUUUCACUGCAGCGCUUUCCUGAUCUCUGAUCAGCUGCUUCACCUCAGAGCGACAUUUCUCUAUGGAUCGGAUGACUUCAGAGAAGAUCCUCUCACUGUCCUCCACCGCUGUCUGUGCGGAGCGCUGUUAUAGGACAUACAUUACAGUUAGCUCCUAAAGUUUUCGACCCUGCCUGAACGACCCACCUUAAUAAAGCUUCUGAGGAAUCCUACUUCGCCUAGCUCUUCAUCACACCUAUGAACUACGAAAAGUGUUUCUUAAACUUAUUCCAAACUCACCUUAUGAGACUCCACAG